rnacentral:rRNA from 1 species
GUGCCAGCAGCCGCGGUAAUACGUAGGGUGCAAGCGUUGUCCGGAAUCAUUGGGCGUAAAGAGCUCGUAGGCGGUUUGUCACGUCUGCUGUGAAAACCCGAGGCUCAACCUCGGGCUUGCAGUGGGUACGGGCAGACUAGAGUGCGGUAGGGGAGAUUGGAAUUCCUGGUGUAGCGGUGGAAUGCGCAGAUAUCAGGAGGAACACCGAUGGCGAAGGCAGAUCUCUGGGCCGUAACUGACGCUGAGGAGCGAAAGCAUGGGGAGCAAACAGGCUUAGAUACCCUGGUAGUCCAUGCCGUAAACGUUGGGAACUAGAUGUGGGGACCAUUCCACGGUCUCCGUGUCGUAGCUAACGCAUUAAGUCCCCCGCCUGGGGAGUACGGCCGCAAGGCUAAAACUCAAAGGAAUUGACGGGGGCCCGCACAAGCGGCGGAGCAUGCGGAUUAAUUCGAUGCAACGCGAAGAACCUUACCAAGGCUUGACAUAUACGAGAACGCACUGGAGACAGUGAACUCUUUGGACACUCGUAUACAGGUGGUGCAUGGUUGUCGUCAGCUCGUGUCGUGAGAUGUUGGGUUAAGUCCCGCAACGAGCGCAACCCUCGUCCUAUGUUGCCAGCACGUAAUGGUGGGAACUCAUGGGAUACUGCCGGGGUCAACUCGGAGGAAGGUGGGGAUGAGGUCAAAUCAUCAUGCCCCUUAUGUCUUGGGCUUCACGCAUGCUACAAUGGCCGGUACAAUGGGCUGCGAUACCGCAAGGUGGAGCGAAUCCCAAAAAGCCGGUCUCAGUUCGGAUUGAGGUCUGCCACUCGACCUCAUGAAGUCGGGAGUCGCUAGUAAUCGUAGAUCAACAACGCUACGGUGGAAUACGUUCCCGGGCCUUGUACACACCGCCCGUG